rnacentral:rRNA from 1 species
AUGUUAGCACUACCAUUGACGAGGACGGAUUUCCAGUAUAUAAAAGGAGGGAUGAUGGAAGGCAGAUCAAAAAGGGAGGGGUCAACUACGACAUGGACAAACUCAAGGAUGAAGAUUGGCGAUGGCAAAACAACAUCAGAUGAAGGGGAGGAUUGGAUAAAAAUACCAAAAGACCUACUGCUAGAGAAAGGAGAAAAUCGUAAAGAACAAAUCGUCAAAAGCAUGUACCCAAAUUUGCUGCAAAAAUACCGUGAGCGGGAUUACCUAGAAGAAAGAGAAAUACUAUGUCCAAGAAAUGAUACAGUCAAGGAGAUAAAUGACCACAUGAUGAGCCAAAUACAAGGUGAAGAGGUGACAUACCUAAGCCUGGACACAGUGUGCAAGGCAAUGACAAAUACCAACAUCAUGAUGAACAUGCAGCCUACUGAGCUCCUCAACACCUUAACGUCCCCAGGAAUACCAGACCAUAAGUUAAAACUGAAGGUAGGUUUACCGGUCAUGCUCCUACGCAACAUCAACCAAGCAGUAGGCUUAUGCAACGGUACAAGAAUGACAAUUACACAACUUGGAAACAAAUACAUCGAGACACAAAUAAUCACAGGAACACAUGUCGGCGAUAAGGUAUACAUACCUCGAAUCAUCAUGUCACCAAGCGACUCAAAAUGGCCAUUCGUGCUGAAAAGAAGGCAAUAUCCAUUAUCAGUGUGCUUCGCAAUGACAAUAAACAAGAGCCAAGGUCAGUCCUUAAACAAGGUAGGCAUAUAUUUGCCUAAGCAAGUGUUCUGCCAUGGACAACUAUAUGUGGCACUAUCAAGAGUGACAAACAAGGAAGGAUUGAAGGUGCUGAUCGAUGACGAAGAGUGUCCAACCGAAGAUGUCGCAAAGAAUAUUCCUUCUUGA